UCUACAUUCAGCACUGGUGGUAGGCACGUGAGUUCACAUCGUUCGAGACUUCAUCCUUCUACAUUAGAAGCAUUAGUAUGCACACAAAAUUGGUUGAAGACUCACAAAAAAGGUAGAUAUUAUUUAACAAUUGUAAAUAUAUAUUUAUAUACAUUUUUUCAUUUCUUAAUUAGAAUUAAUAUUUAUUUUAUUUUUUUUAACAGCAACAGUGAAUGAUGAAGAUAAUGAUGUUGAUCCAACAAUGGAGCCUUACGUAGUUGAUCUUGAUGAUUAGAAAGUACAUUGUUCUUUUUAGUAUAUGAGUGAGGAUAUGGAUGAGAACAAAUUGUAGUGUUUAGUACUUAUGGUUGCUAGUUAUUAUAUUUGAGUUUAUGGUUGGUAGUUAUUAUUGAUGUAUUAAAUAUUGUUAGUAACAAAAGUACAAUCUCAAGCUUUCCUCUAUUA